rnacentral:lncRNA from 1 species
AUAAAUAGACAUACACGUUAAAUUGAUUGAAUAAAAAAAAAUAUCAUGCAAGGCUAAACAUGAUAGAAAUAUUAUUUGAAAAUAAAAAAAAUACAUUUACAUACACAAAAGAUGAGAAAAAAAUAGAUGAAUAAGAAAAAUCUCUUCAAGUAUCAAAUACAGACAAAAUAAAAAUAAAAAAUUGUAAUUUAAAAAAGGGCUCUACAAACA